CUACACACCAAAUAUCCAAAACCAUAAGCUAUUUCUCAGCCUUUGACUCAGUUGUCAAUUGCAUAAAACACUUUUUUCAAAACACUACACAUAAUUCUCUACCUAAAACACAAAAAUCUAACAGGAAGUGACUUGCUUUCCUUUUCCAAACACAACCAAUCAAAAUGCUACACUUAUUCACCAGGUCACAAACACACUCCUUACAUGUGCAAACACUAAUAGCUUAACUGAUCACUAACCAACCACUGCUUUACUGUAGUAUAGGCCUAUAAAUAGGUCAAAGGUCAGAUUACCUGUUUUGAACAAUGGAUGCCAACAAUGGACAGAGAGCAAGAGGAGUAGGAGGGAGAGGAAGAGGAAGAAGAGGACGAGGGCAAAGAAGAGAAGGAACGAGAGACAUCUCUGAUGAGAUUAGGGCAACACUUGUUGAUCAUGUGAUCAACCACGAUUUGACCAUGAGAGAGGCUGGACUGAGAGUCCAGCCCAAAUUGAGUCGAUUUACAGUGGCGUCCAUAAUUCGAACCUUCAGAAAUGAGAACAGAGUGGAAAAGCAAAGACAUCAUGGAGGACGAGGACGCUUGUUUACAGAUGUACAAGAGACUGCAAUUAUAAAUAUGGUUUUGGCCAACAAUGCAAUUAGGAUUCGAGAGAUAAGAGAGCAUAUCUUGAAUAAUGACACCAUAUUUAACAACAUCAAUGCUGUAAGCCUGUCGACCACACAACGCAUCCUCCAACGGCACCGAGUAACGAUGAAACAACUUUACAAGGUGCCAUUUGAGAGAAACUCUGACAGAGUCAAGAAUAUGCGACAUGACUUUGUAGAGAGAGUAUUGGAGCCGGAUGCCCAUGUAAUUCACCAUUAAUUUAUUUAUGUGGAUGAGGUUGGCUUCAACCUCACCAACCAGGCACCGCGGAAGAAAUGUAAUAGGACAGAGGGCAAUUACCAAUGUCCCUGGACAGCGUGGGGGUAAUAUAACUAUGUGUGCUGCCAUCACUCAAAACGGGGUCCUCCAUCACAAUGCCACACUGGGUCCGUACAACACCGGCCAUAUGCUCACUUUUCUGGAUGCAAUUUACACAAUGCUUGUCCCUGAUCCAGAUCAGGAGCCUGCUAGAUUUGUGGUUUUAUGGGACAAUGUUAGU